AGCCAUGCAUUGAGCACAAAGCAAACUAUUCUUUUGUCUUUUACUAAAGAAUACUGUGUGCUCGUUGUUUUAAGUGGCGGACGCCUAUUUUUUGAGAGUCCUUUAUGUAUAGGCUC